rnacentral:rRNA from 1 species
CCCUUAGACGUUCUGGGCCGCACGCGCGCUACACUGACCAGUGCAACAAGCAUCCGUCCUUGGCCGACAGGCUCGGGCAAUCUUUGAACGCUGGUCGUGAUGGGGAUAGACUUUUGCAAUUUUUGGUCUUCAACGAGGAAUUCCUAGUAAACGCAAGUCAUCAACUUGCGUUGAUUACGUCCCUGCCCUUUGUACACACCGCCCGUCGCACCUACCGAUUGAAUGGUCCGGUGAAGCCUCCGGAUUGGCGCGCACCUCGGUGCCGCCGAGAAGUUGGCUAAACCUUACCAUUUAGAGGAAGGUGAAGUCGUAACA